CUCGUCGUCUACUACCUGUUUUGGCCGUUCCUCCUUGUAUUAUACCUAUAUUGUACACCUAAAUGCGCGUCUUUUUAUUUUUAUGCUGUGUGGGAACACGUUGACCCUUGGAUGCGAGAGAAUCACUGCGGUGUUGCAGGGACGAAAGAUCCCAUCGUAUAAUAUGUAUAGUGUAUACACUAUACAUAUUUAUAUUCAGUUUUCUAUAUUUUAU